rnacentral:rRNA from 1 species
UGGGGAAUAUUUCACAAUGGGCGAAAGCCUGAUGCAGCGACCCCGCGUGAGGGAUGAAGGCCUUCGGGUUGUAAACCUCUUUCAGCAGGGACGAAGCGCAAGUGACGGUACCUGCAGAAGAAGCACCGGCUAACUACGUGCCAGCAGCCGCGGUAAUACGUAGGGUGCAAGCGUUGUCCGGAAUUACUGGGCGUAAAGAGUUCGUAGGCGGUUUGUCGCGUCGUUUGUGAAAACCAGCAGCUGAACUGCUGGCUUGCAGGAGUUACUGGCAGGCGUGAGUACUGCAGGGGAGACUGGAAUGCCUGGGGUAGCGGUGAAAUGCGCAGAUAUCAGGAGGAACACCGGUGGGGAAGGCGGGUCUCUGGGCAGUAACUGACGCUGAGGAACGAAAGCGUGGGUAGCGAACAGG